GAUGGACUCGCGGCCUAUCAGCUUGUUGGUGANGUNAUGGCUUACCAAGGCGACGACGGGUAGCCGGCCUGAGAGGGUGACCGGCCACACUGGGACUGAGACACGGCCCAGACCCCUACGGGAGGCAGCAGUGGGGAAUAUUGCACAAUGGGCGAAAGCCUGAUGCAGCGACGCCGCGUGAGGGAUGACGGCCUUCGGGUUGUAAACCUCUUUCAGUAGGGAAGAAGCGAAAGUGACGGUACCUGCAGAAGAAGCGCCGGCUAACUACGUGCCAGCAGCCGCGGUAAUACGUAGGGCGCAAGCGUUAUCCGGAAUUAUUGGGCGUAAAGAGCUCGUAGGCGGUUUGUCGCGUCUGCCGUGAAAGUCCGGGGCUCAACUCCGGAUCUGCGGUGGGUACGGGCAGACUAGAGUGAUGUAGGGGAGACUGGAAUUCCUGGUGUAGCGGUGAAAUGCGCAGAUAUCAGGAGGAACACCGAUGGCGAAGGCAGGUCUCUGGGCAUUAACUGACGCUGAGGAGCGAAAGCAUGGGGAGCGAACAGGAUUAGAUACCCUGGUAGUCCAUGCCGUAAACGUUGGGCACUAGGUGU
rnacentral:rRNA from 1 species